GUGAGUAACACGUGGGUAACCUACCUAUAAGACUGGGAUAACUUCGGGAAACCGGAGCUAAUACCGGAUAACAUUUGGAACCGCAUGGUUCUAAAGUGAAAGAUGGUUUUGCUAUCACUUAUAGAUGGACCCGCGCCGUAUUAGCUAGUUGGUAAGGUAACGGCUUACCAAGGCGACGAUACGUAGCCGACCUGAGAGGGUGAUCGGCCACACUGGAACUGAGACACGGUCCAGACUCCUACGGGAGGCAGCAGUAGGGAAUCUUCCGCAAUGGGCGAAAGCCUGACGGAGCAACGCCGCGUGAGUGAUGAAGGGUUUCGGCUCGUAAAACUCUGUUAUUAGGGAAGAACAAACGUGUAAGUAACUGUGCACGUCUUGACGGUACCUAAUCAGAAAGCCACGGCUAACUACGUGCCAGCAGCCGCGGUAAUACGUAGGUGGCAAGCGUUAUCCGGAAUUAUUGGGCGUAAAGCGCGCGUAGGCGGUUUCUUAAGUCUGAUGUGAAAGCCCACGGCUCAACCGUGGAGGGUCAUUGGAAACUGGGAAACUUGAGUGCAGAAGAGGAAAGUGGAAUUCCAUGUGUAGCGGUGAAAUGCGCAGAGAUAUGGAGGAACACCAGUGGCGAAGGCGACUUUCUGGUCUGUAACUGACGCUGAUGUGCGAAAGCGUGGGGAUCAAACAGGAUUAGAUACCCUGGUAGUCCACGCCGUAAACGAUGAGUGCUAAGUGUUAGGGGGUUUCCGCCCCUUAGUGCUGCAGCUAACGCA
rnacentral:rRNA from 1 species